CUCUCCGCCAUCUUCUUCACGCUGCCGUAUUCCGACGCGUACGCCAUUGACGGACUGUCGCAAAGGUCGCAAAGUUGUGACAUGUUUUUUUUUCUUUUUUUUUUUUUGCUCGAGUCGAGGGAUUUUUUUAAGUGUGUUUAUUUCCACGAAGUGCCUCCAGGCGUGAGGAUGUUGCUCAGGAAGUUUCCUGCCAUCUGAGGGCAGCAGGUGGCCGCCGGCCUCCACAGAUGUCGGGGUAAAGGGGACAAACAAAGCGCAGACCUCGUGGCUCGCGCUACUCCUCCGCUCCGUCUCGCUCUCAUCGCGAGCUUUUCGUGUGUGCACGAGGAUGCGUCAUCUGAUACGCACCCCAAACAGGAAAUGAGGAACUGAACCAAAGACUACGCAUGAGGACGGAACGUAUAUGUGAGAAGAAGCUUGAAGUGGAAAAGGCUGUUUUAUUCCAAGCAGAGCAAGAGAAGGAGACAUCUGAGACUUCCAUCCAAUUGUGGAAUUCACACUCAUAUGAAGUAUGGCAUCACAUCUAGUAUGGCGCAUGUUUUCAACUCAUUGAGUGAGAGCGACACAGGAACAGUGAUUCCCAACCAGGCUUUGUUCAUCAAUCUAUGCAAGCGAUGUACUUUAUAGUGACAGGCAGGACAAGCUAACACUCUAGAUGUAGUACAACGAGUACAAUCAACCAGAGUAUCCACCAGUUGCCAUUCAUACAACAGAAUCAUUUCGUUGUGUGAACCGAACAGGCUCAGAUUUCACAGUGUGUAAAGUGGUGAGCAAAUUGAGAUGAGAUCAGUAUAUAUACUUUUUGUGAUUUUUCUCAUGUGAACUACUGUAUGUGCUUUGGCUCAUGCGAAACGCUCCGUUAAAAGAUUUAUGAAUCUUAGCAAGGAUUUGUUACUCCACAAGACAUUGGACACUUUUCAGACUUUUUUUAUUUGCCAGGAAAAAAAAGAACAUAAAUCAAUGAAUUAAUCAAUCAGAGGUUGGACCUGAAUCCUUAGCUGUCCCUGAAUGUUAAAACAAGAUGCUUUGAAUUAUUAUAUGCUUCCAACAUUGUGGGAAGGGUCUGGGGAAGUUCAUUUUCUGUUCCCAAUGCAUAAAGCAAAAGCCUGCUUGGAUGAGGUGUUAGAAUUUAGUGGAAGAACUUGGCUGAAGACCAAACCUCUAGCCCAUCUCGUGACAUCACAUGAUCAAGGUGUGGAUAGACUUACGUUCACGUUGUGGUGGUUAUGACAGGAGGCACUAGAAUGGCGCUGGUGGUUCGUAACAGUUUUUUGUUUUUUUUCUCUCUCCCACUUGAAGUUUACUAUCAAAGUAAACAUCAAACAAAAAUAAUUACAUGUUUUACAUAAAUAAAUAAAAAACACAUCCUGUAGCACAGACAACCACUUAGCUUGAUGCUAACACAGAAUGCAAAAGGUCAUAGAUGGGCUAAGGAAUAGCAUUGGUGCUGUGGUGUCAAAACCCUUUCAUCAAUGAAUAGUUGAACACAAACAGCGGAGCAACGUGUAUGUUUUGAUAAAGUACAAUAUUCCAGAAUGCUAACACAUAAUACAACAUUUUACAGAUUAAUAGCAUUGGCCACAGAAUGAAUUCAACUUGUAUCUCAGGCAGCACUCUAAUUGACUUAAAUGUUAGUUUAAUGUACAUGUUAUGAGUCUUUAUAUCUUUUUUUACUUUUACUUAUGUACAGGAGUUGAAUCUGUUUCUGUGUGAGUACUUUUGCCACCUCUACUAUUCUCCAUUUGAAAAGCCAAUCUCGCAGUUAUUUAAAGCAUCAAUCAGUUGUCACAAUUGCUUUAAUGAGGACUAAUACUGUGAACUGAAGGCUAAAAAGCGUCACUGGUGAUCGUUGUGACACAUUUAAGAGUUUCCUGCAUCCUGCAUGGAGUCAUUUUUUUUGCAAGGGGUUGUUGAAACAGCUCACUUGGAGUCAAACAGGGCAGUUGUGUGUUUGCUCGCAGCCACGCUGCAUAGUCGUACCAAAGUGCCAGACAGCGACCUGUUAGCAGUAGAGUUAAUAAAACAAGCGAGAAUCCCCCAGGAUUACUGUUCAAAGUGAGAGUGGCGCGCCGCAGGGCCUCCACAAGGCUUUCAUCCGCCCGUGCGGUCGGCAUUUUCGCACCGGGGGCGACGGUGUGUUGUUGUAGCUCAUUUGUUUUACUCCCACUGGGCUUGAGCACUGAACACAUGGUCAAGCUUUCCCACAGAGAGGACCCCCAUUAUCAGGAGUGAGUCAGAGGGUGUGGAUACACACAGUCACAAUAUUACUAGUUAGUUAGACUAGGGGUUUUAAAAUUUUGUGUGUCCAGAGAAAAGCAUUUUCCAAGGACCCCCUCUUAAUCUGAACGCCAGUUGAACAUAACCACGUGUACACUUACAGUAAAUGCCAUAGAAAUUAAAAACUUGACUAUUUUCUUGCAAAAAUUAAUAAUUUUACGAUAACAAAUUCAUAGUUUUUUGUAAUGUUUUGAGAGUUGUGUUCUUUCAAGAAAUUUUGUUUUCGUAAAAGACCCAGAUGUGUAAAUUGUGCGCCAUUUAUUAGUUAAAGGACCUCUCUAAUGCUGUGACGAUUGGUACUUAUUCCAUAGUCCCCCCCAAAUUUCCCCCAAAAUAGCCUUAGUACUAAUUUUCGGCUUGUUUUCUGCGCUUGAGUCAGCUCAAUAUAUUGAUUACUUCGCUCACAUUUAAAAAAGAGUUUGGAAGAUGACGUGACAAAGGCGUUUGCUUUUAAAGGCUUUUUGUACGGUGGUGGUGUCAUGUGACUGCAGCGGAUUUUGAUGGUCACGGCAGGCUGCCGCUGUGUUUGUACCAUUUUGAUCGAUUACACCGUAAUCAAUUUGCAAUUUUUUAGAAUAAUAACUGAGCAAUUGAACAUGCUGUUGUGUUGAUGUGAAUGUGCAACAGUAUAUGAUAGCGAUAUAAGGUAUAAUACCAACUUGAACUAAAGAGUGGUUGGAAACUCAAGCAAGAUGGUGUUUUUUAUUUUAAUUUAUGGAAAAGAUGUCACUUUAGAGGUGGGGGAUUACGCCUGACAGCGACGCUAUAUAAAAUACAAGUAAAUACUUUGUAGUACAGUACAUUCCUUUGUCCAAGUAGCGAAUUUGGUCUCCAGCUCCGUCGCUGAAGUCACACCAAGACAUGGCGUCAUAUUGAUUUUAGCAAUGAAAAACGUUCCUUAUUUUAGUUAUUUUGAGUUAUUAGUUAUUUACUGAUUGCUCCAAAACUGCUAUGAUCCUGUGUUUCGGUUGUUUUUCCACUCCCCUCUGGUUGAUGGGCGGAGCCUCCCACACACACCUGCACUGCAUGACCAUUAGUUAGGUUCUUAAGCGCUGGAUUUAUGGUAGCUCAUCACUGGAAUAUUUGAUUGUCUGUUUUUCUCUGCCACGUUUUGCAAAUGUUCUCUUCCAUUUUUCUCUCACUUAAGUAAUUCCGGUUCUUCUAUUUCUCGUAUUUGUUUUUAUGUAGGUUAGAUUGAUUGUUAGUCCUUGUCUUAGUCUCCUGUUUUGUCCUCAAUACGCUUGUAGUAGAGUCUAUUUUGUCUGUUCAUCUUAUUCGUCUCUAAACUUGUGUAGUUUAGAAUCCAUUUCUGUGUUUGUAUAUGUGUCUGUUCUUUAUUUGUGUAGUUUGGCUUUCUUCUCUUGCGCCAUCGAGACUGUGUUCCAAAUUAAGCAAAUUAUAUUUUUCUCACAUUUUCCUUAAUAGGUUAUACAUAAAUAAAUGACAGUUGGUAAAAUUUUGAUCGACCAUCAGAAAUUCAAAUGGUUUUGAACAAUCCUCCAAAAGAUAGUAUUUUUUGAAAAAUAUAAAACGUAUAAUGCACUGUUCUAAAUUAUUACUCAAAACAGA